GAUGAAGAACGCAGUGAAAUGCGAUACGUAAUGUGAAUUGCAAAUUCAGUGAAUCAUCGAAUCUUUGAACGCACAUUGCGCCCGCCAGUAUUCUGGCGGGCAUGCCUGUUCGAGCGUCAUUACAACCCUCAGGCCCCCGGGCCUGGCGUUGGGGAUCGGCGGAAGCCCCCUGCGGGCACAACGCCGUCCCCCAAAUACAGUGGCGGUCCCGCCGCAGCUUCCAUUGCGUAGUAGCUAACACCUCGCAACUGGAGAGCGGCGCGGCCACGCCGUAAAACACCCAACUUCUGAAUGUUGACCUCGAAUCAGGUAGGAAUACCCGCUGAACUUAAGCAUAUCAAUAAGCGGAGGA
rnacentral:misc_RNA from 1 species